UAGUUUAUAAAAAACAUUGGUCUUGUAAACCAAAGACUGAAGAUUGUCCCCCUUCUUAGAGUU
rnacentral:tRNA from 1 species